rnacentral:lncRNA from 1 species
GUCUAUCAUUAUCACCUGCACAUCGAAGGUCACCGGCACUUGAUAAGCAUAAUAGAUCACCAUCACCCACGAGGCAUCGUAGGUCACUAUCACCAAUUAGACGUCGUCGUUCACCUUCACCUGUUCGGCGUCGUAGAUCACCAUCACCUAAAUGGCGUCGUAGAUCACCAUCACCUGAGUGGCGUCGUAGGUCACCUUCACCAGGACGACGUCGUAGGUCACCUUCACCAGGACGACGUCGUAGGUCACCAUCACCAGGACGACGUCGUAGGUCACCAUCACCAGGACGACAUCGUAGGUCACCAUCACCUAUACGACGCUGGAGGUCACCAUCUCCAAUACGACGUAGAAGGUCACCAUCUCCAAUACGACGUCGAAGGUCACCAUCCCCACCACGACGUCAUAGGUCACCAUCUCCAUAUCGUCGAAAAUCAC